rnacentral:rRNA from 1 species
UGUAUAUUCAUCUCAUGUGUCGUCUCCACCACUAGAGAGUUAUCAAGUAUAAACCUAUGGCACGUUUUGGUUACAAAAUAGUUUACAAAUCAAAUUUUGAAUUUAUAAGUGUGGCUAGAAUCAGGUUACGAUCACUGCUGCUGACACUUUUCAACUAGCAACUUUUGAUGAAACACGAUUGUGUGGCAGGCAAUGCAAGCCUGUCACAAUUUGUGAAUUGUUAAAGCCGAUUCUUAACACACUGAUUUGACGCUAAGAGUGUAGGUCUUGGUAAAUUUACCAGAUUUGAAAGUUGACUAUGACUGCCCAAUUAGAAAUUACCUCUUCGAGACAAUGUCACAACUGAAGAACAAUAUUUAUUCAUCUCAUGUGUGGUCUUCACCACUAGAGAGUUAUCAAGCAGAAACCUAUGGCACAUUUUGGUUACAAAAUAGUUUACAAAUCAAAUUUAGUAUUUUGAAUAUAUAAGUGUGACUAGAAUCAGGUUAAGAUCACUGCUGACACUUUUCAACUAGCAACUCUUAAUGAAACACGAUUGUAUGGCAGGCAAUGCGGGCCUGUACGUUUUAAGUGGACAAGAGUAUAGUAUAUUCCUCUCCUUACACUUUAAGAAAUAUUGUGUAGAUGUGUAUUGUUGUAUGUAUGAAAAGUCUUGUGGGCAACGGCAACUAAGUGCAGAUAUUCUUCUUUAUGUAUUGACCUGGUAGCGAUGGCUAUUCCAGAAGCCACGACUUUUUGUCUUUGCCGUCAACAAACGUGUGGAGCUCUAUAGUAUACCUAUUUCUUUGUGAGUUAGAUAUGGCUUGUUUUGAAUUUCACUAUAAUUGGUUCUCUUGUCGUUAAAAUUCCUCCUUAUACAACAAUAAAUAAAAUUCUUCUAUCAUUAUUUUGGUGAUAGAUCGCAAGAUUUAUUCUCCAUUUUAAUUAUAACGAUUAUCAAUUAACAAUCAAUUCAGAACUGGCACGGACUUGGGGAAUCCGACUGUCUAAUUAAAACAAAGCAUUGUGAUGGCCCUAACGGGUGUUGACACAAUGUGAUUUCUGCCCAGUGCUCUGAAUGUCAAAGUGAAGAAAUUCAAGUAAGCGCGGGUAAACGGCGGGAGUAACUAUGACUCUCUUAAGGUAGCCAAAUGCCUCGUCAUCUAAUUAGUGACGCGCAUGAAUGGAUUAACGAGAUUCCCUCUGUCCCUAUCUACUAUCUAGCGAAACCACAGCCAAGGGAACGGGCUUGGAAUAAUUAGCGGGGAAAGAAGACCCUGUUGAGCUUGACUCUAGUCUGGCAGUGUAAGGAGACAUAAGAGGUGUAGCAUAAGUGGGAGAUAUAUUACUUCGGUUUUAUAUCAACAAUGAAAUACCACUACUCUUAUUGUUUCCUUACUUACUUGAUUAAGUGGAACGUGUAUCUAUGCUUAGCCAUUAUACGGAUAUAUUUAUAUGUCUUAUGGUAUUGGGUAUUGAUGCAAGCUUCUUGAUCAAAGUACCACGAGUUUGUUAUAUAAUUGUAAACAAAUUUUUAUGAAUUAAUAGCAUUUCGGUGUUAUUAUUAUAUUUUGAAUUUGGUAUAACUCNGUCGACGAAUUCGGGUCUUGGCCUACACAAACGUCGCGCA